rnacentral:lncRNA from 1 species
GUGAGCAAGCCCCAAUGUCCUCUCUUUGGUUUCCUCUUCUAAAUUCUUCUGCCUUUUUAAAAAUCUUGGUCUGUAAUUCAGACUCAUAGCCUGGCUGCUAUGUUUAUUUUAUUCCUUCUAUAGGAAAUGAUGUCUGAGUGCCAUUUAGGCCUCGAUAGUGAAAGUAAAAGGCUUAUUUGACAAUUUCAUCUGUGAUAAAUCUUAUGCUAAUAUUCAAAAAUGUAAAAGUUUUGCCUUUAAUGACAUUGUGUUAGUACUCAUACUGCUUUAGUCACUAUAGGGGCAAAAUGACAGGAAACCAUCAUUUCCUUUUUUAUUUAUAAACUUGUAUUUUAUCUUUUGUGUUUUGGCUUCAUAUAUGUCUGUGUACUGCAUGAAUGUCCUCUGAGGCCAGAGGCAGCAAUGGAUCUCCUAGACCUGAAGUUACAGAUGUUUAUAAGCCUCCAUGUGGGUGUUUGGGAUUGAACUUAGUUCGUUGGAAGAACAGAGUAGUCUAAAGCACGGAUCCAUCUCUCCAGGCCCCAUUUCCUUUUAUAGUCUCAAAUUUUAUUUGGGAGGGAGUGACAGAGGCAUUAGUAGGCAUUAAUGAAACAUCUUGUUUCUGUGUGUGGGCUCGCUUUUCAAACCCUAGGCCUGUGUUUUCCAGAUAUAUACUUCAUCUCUGGCUGUAUUCUGGUGCCUGUGUAGAAUUUUCCUCUAGGGUUCUAUGAGGAAUAAGAUGAUCUGUCCUUAGGUCCAUGCUCAUGAGUUCUGGUAUUGUCUGGUUUUGGAUUUUCAUUUACAGAGUUAACUAUUUUUUGCAGAAGUAAUUGUUUAGAUGUGUGGGUAAAUUUUAACUUUAGAUAGAAAAGUUGAAGUUGGUCACAUUUGUUUUUAUGGUAGAGGUGUGUGUGUGUGUGUGUAGGGUAGAAUUUAGACCCUUGUGCAUGUUAGUAACUGUACUUCUAAAGAUCAGUUUUAUCUGGGAUUGAUCUAUUAUGAGGUAGUUUUAUACCGUUGGUGGGGAGGGAGAUUGAAAACAAGCUUUUAAAAAUAAGAUUAAUUUUUAAACAGUUAUUUUAUGUAUAUGUGUGGGUGUCUUGCCUGCGUAUAUGAUUGUGUACCACAUGUGUACCUGAUACUUUAGAGGACAGAAGAGGUUAUGAGAUUCUCUAGAACUGUGCAGGUGUGGGCUACCAUGUGGUUGCUGGGAAUUGAACUCAAGACCUCUGGAAGAUCAGCCCAUGCUCUUAACUGCUGAGCCAUUUCUCUAGCCCAAGUGUGGGUUUUAUUAUUUGGUUUUCGAGACAGUGUUUCUCUGUGUAUGUAGUCUGGCUAUACUGGAAUUUGCACUGUAAAUCAGUGCAUGAGUUAUGAAUGGUAUCCACUUCCCUUUUCUGGCAAAAUUGAGUUUGAUUUUUUACUUUAUUUUUCCUAACCUAUGUGAGAACUUGCUUGGUCAGCUUCUGAAAGCUCACUAGGUCAUCAAGUAUUUAAAUAUUCUAUGACGAGUGUUGUAAUGAGAUACAUGAUAUGAACUUCUUACUUUGCCAGCCUUGAGAGAGCCAUGGCAUAACUUUCCACACAGCGCUUAUGCAGCCUCUGUCAGCCUUAAGGAGAACUGAUGGAAGCCGGGCAGUGGUGGUGAACCCCUUUAAUCCCAGCACUUGGGAGGCAGAGGCAGGCGGAUUUCUGAGUUCCAGGACAGCCAGGGCUACACAGAGAAACCCUGUCUCGAAUUUACACCCCCCCCCCCCCCAAAAAAAAAAAACCCUGUCUCAAAAAACC